AAAAGAACUUGCCCCGUCAAACGACAUCGCCAUCAGCGCUCAACUGACUCUGUUGUAACAUCCAGAGACUAACCACCAAAACCGUGAAAUGCCAAACUUCCAUUUCAACUACUCUUUUUUUUCUCCGUCUCUCCUUCAAAAUUUCGCUGGUUUCUAGGGUUUUUAGGUAAGUUUCUAGGGUUUUUAGGUAACAAGAAAAUUCGUUACUGUAUUUUAAAUUUCACUUAAAGCUUGGGGAUUUUUGGGCAUGAGAGUACCGAGCGCGGACCUCUUCGAUCCUCGAACGAUCAUGGACUCGGACUACUCUCCUGGUGGGCCUGAUGCACCUGGGUCCGACCCGGAUUUCGCCUUCGCCUUCAACGACAGUAACUUCUCCGAUCGGGUUCUCAGGAUCGAGAUUAUCCCCGAUUUACCAGAGACGAAGUCGGACGGCGACCCUUGCACUAGCAUCGCUGACUGGGUCCGUAAUCGCAAGAGGCGAAGGGAGGACAUCAAGAAAGAAAACGCUGCGGAGGUUGUUGGGCAAAGUGAGGAGCAGGUAAUAAACUGUAACAUGCCGGACACAGAGGAUGCUGUUGCCUAUGAAAAUCAAGAUGAAGAACCAAUGGCAAUGAUCGAGGAACCUCCUACAGAUGCUGAUGUGAAUUUGAAUGAACUUGGUGAUGAUGUUGAUAAUGGUAACGACUCAUCCUGGAACAUGGACUGUUCAACCGUUCUUAGAGUUAAGACUCUGCAUAUUAGUUCUCCAAUAUUAGCUGCUAAAAGCCCCUUUUUUUACAAGUUGUUUUCAAAUGGGAUGAGAGAGUCAGAGCAGCGACAUGUAACUCUACGGAUACAUGCCUCUGAAGAAGCAGCCUUAAUGGACCUCCUUAAUUUUAUGUAUAGUCAUACCCUAUCAACAACCACACCAACUGCUGUACUGGAUGUGUUGAUGGCUGCUGACAAAUUUGAGGUAGCAUCAUGCAUGAGAUAUUGCAGCAAGCUGUUGCGAAAUUUGCCUAUGACCUGCGAGUCUGCCUUGCUCUACUUGGACCUUCCUUCUACUGUUUUAAUGGCUGAAGCAGUUCAGCCACUGACAGAUGCAGCUAAGCAGUUUCUCGCUGCGCAAUACAAGGACAUAAAUAAGUUCCAAGAAGAUGUUCUUAACUUGCCUUUGGCUGGUAUUGAGGCUGUAUUAUCCAGUGAUGAUCUCCAGGUAGCUUCAGAGGAUGCUGUUUAUGACUUUGUACUUAAGUGGGGUCGUACUCAUUAUCCCAGAUUGGAGGAUCGACGAGAAAUCCUUGCCACACGACUUGGUAGACUGAUACGUUUCCCAUUCAUGACCUGCCGAAAACUGAAGAAGGUUUUAAGUUGCAAUGAUUUUGAUCCUGAACUUGCAUCCAAGGUUGUGCUUGAGGCACUCUUUUUCAAGGGUGAGGCUCCAUAUCGGCAGCGAGUUCUAGCUGCAGAGGAGGCUAAUUCCACCUAUCGUCGAUUUGUGGAGCGGGCAUACAAGUACCGACCAGUCAAAGUGGUGGAAUUUGAAAUCCCGCGUCAGCAGUGUGUUGUGUACCUAGAUCUGAAGCGUGAGGAGUGUGCACAUCUAUUUCCAGCUGGCCGGGUAUAUUCUCAAGCGUUUCACUUGGGCGGGCAGGGGUUUUUCUUGUCUGCUCACUGUAACAUGGACCAACAGAGCUCAUUUCAUUGCUUUGGACUAUUUUUGGGGAUGCAAGAGAAGGGAUCAGUAAGCUUUGCUGUUGACUAUGAAUUUGCUGCAAGAUCAAAGCCAACUGAAGAGUAUGUGAGCAAGUACAAAGGAAACUACACUUUCACUGGAGGCAAGGCUGUUGGAUAUAGAAACCUUUUUGGCAUACCCUGGACAGCAUUCAUGGCAGAUGACAGCCUCUAUUUCAUCAAUAACAUCCUCCAUCUCAGGGCAGAGCUUACCAUAAGACAAUGAAUUUGUGUCUUGCCUUUUGGCCUCUUAGGUUUUCUCAUAUAUAUGAAACUGCCCAUAGGUACAGUUUGGGUUUCUGUAGUCGUUAUUUAUUAUAUUGAUUUCGGCAACCAAAUUACCAGAAGGAAUGUGUUAAAUGACUACCUGUUAUACUAUUUCGAUUUGUCUAUACAAACUGGAACAUGCUAAAGGGGGACAGCAGGGGUCUGCAUAUCAAAGAUCUAGCAUUUUUGAAUGCUUGCUGCAAAGAGGGACCGCAGAAGAUAAUCUCUUAAUCCCCGACAUUCUUGUUUAUCUAGAUGGGAAGUCCAAUUUCUAUUGCUUCAGAAUGGUCGGCUGCUCAUACUAUUGAACUUGUCAGUGAUAAUUUGAUAAUUAUAAUUGUCUGAUUGAACAGCAGAAAUGUGCAAUUAUAUAAAGCACACAUUAACAAUUUUUGGGCAAGUCCCAACUCGUCAAUUUCAAACAAUGAAUAGAGUUUUUU
rnacentral:misc_RNA from 1 species